rnacentral:rRNA from 1 species
AACGAACGCUGGCGGCAUGCCUAACACAUGCAAGUCGAACGAGACCUUCGGGUCUAGUGGCGCACGGGUGCGUAACGCGUGGGAACCUGCCCUUAGGUUCGGAAUAACUCCCCGAAAGGGGUGCUAAUACCGGAUAAUGUCUUCGGACCAAAGAUUUAUCGCCUUUGGAUGGGCCCGCGUUGGAUUAGCUAGUUGGUAGGGUAAAAGCCUACCAAGGCGACGAUCCAUAGCUGGUCUGAGAGGAUGAUCAGCCACACUGGGACUGAGACACGGCCCAGACUCCUACGAGAGGCAGCAGUGGGGAAUAUUGGACAAUGGGCGGAAGCAUGAUCCAGCAAUGCCGCGUGAGUGAUGAAGGCCUUAGGGUUGUAAAGCUCUUUUACCCGGGAUGAUAAUGACAGUACCGGGAGAAUAAGCUCCGGCUAACUCCGUG